rnacentral:rRNA from 1 species
GACGAACGCUGGCGGCGUGCUUAACACAUGCAAGUCGAACGGAAAGGCCCUGCUUUUGUGGGGUGCUCGAGUGGCGAACGGGUGAGUAACACGUGAGUAACCUGCCCUUGACUUUGGGAUAACUUCAGGAAACUGGGGCUAAUACCGGAUAGGAGCUCCUGCUGCAUGGUGGGGGUUGGAAAGUUUCGGCGGUUGGGGAUGGACUCGCGGCUUAUCAGCUUGUUGGUGGGGUAGUGGCUUACCAAGGCUUUGACGGGUAGCCGGCCUGAGAGGGUGACCGGCCACAUUGGGACUGAGAUACGGCCCAGACUCCUACGGGAGGCAGCAGUGGGGAAUAUUGCACAAUGGGCGGAAGCCUGAUGCAGCAACGCCGCGUGCGGGAUGACGGCCUUCGGGUUGUAAACCGCUUUCGCCUGUGACGAAGCGUGAGUGACGGUAAUGGGUAAAGAAGCACCGGCUAACUACGUGCCAGCAGCCGCGGUGAUACGUAGGGUGCGAGCGUUGUCCGGAUUUAUUGGGCGUAAAGGGCUCGUAGGUGGUUGAUCGCGUCGGAAGUGUAAUCUUGGGGCUUAACCCUGAGCGUGCUUUCGAUACGGGUUGACUUGAGGAAGGUAGGGGAGAAUGGAAUUCCUGGUGGAGCGGUGGAAUGCGCAGAUAUCAGGAGGAACACCAGUGGCGAAGGCGGUUCUCUGGGCCUUUCCUGACGCUGAGGAGCGAAAGCGUGGGGAGCGAACAGGCUUAGAUACCCUGGUAGUCCACGCUGUAAACGGUGGGUACUAGGUGUGGGGUCCAUUCCACGGGUUCCGUGCCGUAGCUAACGCUUUAAGUACCCCGCCUGGGGAGUACGGCCGCAAGGCUAAAACUCAAAGGAAUUGACGGGGCCCCGCACAAGCGGCGGAGCAUGCGGAUUAAUUCGAUGCAACGCGUAGAACCUUACCUGGGUUUGACAUGGAUCGGGAGUGCUCAGAGAUGGGUGUGCCUCUUUUGGGGUCGGUUCACAGGUGGUGCAUGGCUGUCGUCAGCUCGUGUCGUGAGAUGUUGGGUUAAGUCCCGCAACGAGCGCAACCCUUGUUCACUGUUGCCAGCACGUUAUGGUGGGGACUCAGUGGAGACCGCCGGGGUCAGCUCGGAGGAAGGUGGGGAUGACGUCAAGUCAUCAUGCCCCUUAUGUCCAGGGCUUCACGCAUGCUACAAUGGCUGGUACAGAGAGUGGCGAGCCUGUGAGGGUGAGCGAAUCUCGGAAAGCCGGUCUCAGUUCGGAUUGGGGUCUGCAACUCGACCUCAUGAAGUCGGAGUCGCUAGUAAUCGCAGAUCAGCAACGCUGCGGUGAAUACGUCCCCGGG